GGCGUGUUCCUAACUCUGUUUCUGUUUGUGCUUAUUCUCAUAACUUUAUUGAUAUGGUCAUUACUAGCGAUUCUGGUUCCCAUUGGUAUUUGACUGGCUUUUACGGAUAUCCAGACCGACGGAGUCGUCACUUUUCUUGGUCUCUCCUUCGUUAACUGGCCGCUUUGUCUGAUCUUCUCUGGGUUUGUUUGGGCGACUUCUUUGAUUUGUUAAGCUCUAAGGACAAGCAUGGUGGGCUUCCCCAUCUGCUUGCUCUAUUAGAUGGUUUUCGUAACACAGUGGACGCUUGUAACCUUGUUGAUCUUCCACUGUAUGGCCAUCCUUUCACUUGGGAAAGGGGUCGGGGCACAUCUCAUUUUGUGGAGGAGAAACUAGACUGUGCACUAGCUUCUCCUAACUGGAUUAAUCUUUUUCCUGCAUCUCAUUUAUUAAAUUUGAUUGAACUAGUGUCGAAUCAUUCACCUAUUCUUUUGGACAUCUCAGCUUCGUCUUUCUUAGUUGGGCUUCGCAGAUUCAAAUUUGAAAACCCCUCGUUCUUCGAACCAGACUUAGAUGAUGUUGUUUCUGCUUCUUUAUAUUUACUGCCUAAACUCGCUUCUUAUUGUCAGUCUUUGCACAAUUGGGGUUGUGCUAUAGCAGGCAGGUUUAAACAUCGUAUCCAGGCUUUGCUUCAUCAAAUGCAUCAGUGUUGUCAAAUGCCUUUCUCUGUCACUGAGAAUCAUAUGCCCGAUCUGAAACAUAGAUAGAAUACUUUACUUUCUCAGGAAGAACUUUAUCGGAAGCAGCGUUCCAAGCUUCACUGAUUAAAGAGUGGUGAUCGGAAUACGCGAUCUUUUCAUAGUUUUGCUUCUUCACGCAAAAGGGCGAAUAGAAUCCAUUCUCUUCUAUCUGAUGAUGGGCAUUGGCACGAGGAUCCUGACUGUUUGGCUUCUCUUAUUGCUUCUUAUUUUAAUGACCUGUUUUCUGCAGCUACUAAUCCCAAUAUGGUGAUACUUGAUUGUGUUGAUUGUCGUGUCUCUGAUCCUGACAAUGCCUACUUAUUAUCUCCUUUCACUCCUGGUGAGUUUCGGGUUGAAUCCUGCUUUCUUCCAGAAAUUUUGGCACUUAAUUGGUGAUGAGGUUGUUUGCAGUUGUCAGCAUUUGCUUUCUCAAGGUUCGUUUCCUGCGAGUUUAAAUGAUACAAUUAUUGUUCUUAUUUCAAAAAAGGAUUCUCCUACCUCUAUGAGGGAUUUGUGUCCUAACUCUUUAUGUAAUGUUUUAUAUAAGAUUGUUGCUAAAGUUUUAGCAAACCGAUUGAAGAACGUGCUUCCUCGCAUUAUUUCCCCCACUCAAUCUGCGUUUGUGCCUGGUCGUUCUAUUUCUGACAAGGCGUUGAUUACGCUUGAAACCAUCCAUUUUAUGAAGCGUAAAUUUUGCCUUGAAAAUGGAUAUUAGUAAAGCAUAUGACCAUGUGGAUUGGUCUUUUCUUAGACUGAUUAUGCUUCGAUUGGCCUUCGAUGCUCGUUAGGCUGAUUUAAUGAUGCUUUGUGUUUCUUCUGUCACUUAUUUGGGGUCAGUUAAUGGCAUUGAAAUUGGUCCCAUUGUUCCUCAUGGGGAUUACUCCAAAAACCGCUAGUUGCUGACGAGCAUUGCUACAAAUAUUUUUUUGUUACAAAAUAAAUAAGUGAAAAUAUGAUACUUUUUUAUAAUUUUCUCAUAAAUUUUUACUUUGAAUUAAUUAAAAUAAUUUUUUGACUCACUGACUCAAUUUUCUUGCUUUGGUCUUAAACGCAGGUUUAAACGGUACACUCCAUAAUCUUUCUUUCUCAUCCUUUCAUGAUCUUGAAUUUAUUGAUUUCAGCGUGAACAAGCUUUUUGGUACCAUCCCACUUGAAAUCACUCACCUUUCCAAACUUAGAUAUCUUGAUUUAUCAAACAAUCAGCUGUCAGGGGUAAUCCCAUCAGAAAUUGGCCUCUUAACAAAUCUUGAAAAAUUGCACAUUGCUGAAAAUCAAUUAAAUGGUUCAAUUCCUGAAGAAAUAGGUCAAUUAAGUUCCCUAAUUGAGCUUUUCUUGUAUACCAACUAUUUACGCGGUCAUAUUCCUGUUUCACUCUGUAAUUUGACUAAUAUGGCUGCAUUGCACCUCUAUGAGAACCAAUUUUUUGGUACUAUUCCACCAGAAAUGGGAAAACUCUCUAAUUUGGUUGAACUUUUCAUUGAUACCAACAGCCUCGAAGGUCCUAUCCCUUUCACUUUUGGGAACUUGACAAAAUUAACUAAGUUGUUCAUGUACCAAAAUCAACUUUCUGGUUCUAUUCCCCCAGAAAUUGGAAACUUGAAGUCUCUCAACUGGCUAAGCCUUUUCGGAAACAAUCUUUCUGGCCCAAUUCCAGCGUCACUAGGUGGCUUGACAAGCCUCACCCUUCUUCAUCUUUAUAAGAAUCAACUCUCCGGCUCCAUUCCAAAAGAGUUGGGAAACUUGAAAUCUAUACUUGAUCUAGAGUUGGGUGUGAAUCAACUUAUUGGCCCUAUUCCUGCUUCCUUCGGUAACUUGAGUGAGUUAAAAUUUUUAAAUCUUCGUGAUAAUGGACUUUCUGGUCGGAUUCCUAAACAGAUGGCAUAUCUCCCAAAGUUGUCUUUGCUUCAACUGCAGAACAAUCAGUUGACUGGUUCAUUGCCCCCAAAUAUUUGCCAAAAUAAAAUGCUUCAGAACAUUAGUGUCAAUGACAACCAUCUUGAAGGCCCAAUCCCCAAAAGUUUUAAAGAUUGCAAAAGUUUGGUGAGAGUUGGGCUUAGUGGAAAUCGUUUUACUGGAAAUAUAUCUGAGGAUUUUGGUGUCUAUCCAGACCUUCAAUUUAUGGAUCUAAGCCAUAAUAAUUUCUACGGUGAAAUAUCAACCAACUGGGGAAGGUGUUCCAAUUUGGCCACACUACGGAUUGCAGACAACAAUAUUACUGGUACCGUACCACCAGAGAUUGGAAAUGCUACUCAGCUACAAUCACUUGAUCUUUCUUCCAACCAAUUGUUUGGGACGAUUCCUAAGGAAUUGGGGAAGUUGACUUCUUUGUCGAAGGUGAAUUUAAGUGGCAAUCAGCUCUCUGAUGUUAUACCUUCAGAAUUUGGAUCGUUUACAAAUCUUGAGCUUUUGGACCUGUCCGCAAAUAGACUAAACCAACCUAUUCCACAAAACAUUGGAAACUUGGCUAAACUGAUCUACUUGAACUUGAGCAAUAAUGAGAUUAGCCAAGAAAUUCCAAUUCAAUUGGGGAAGUUGUUUCACUUGUCGGAGUUGGAUUUAAGUCGAAACUUUCUUAAAGGAGAGAUUCCUUCACAAUUAAGCGGUUUAGAAAGCUUGGAAACUUUGAAUCUCUCCCACAAUAACCUAUCUGGUUCUAUUCCAGAUAGUUUCAAAGAGAUGUAUGGUUUGUUGUCCAUUGAUAUAUCCUAUAAUGAUUUGGAAGGCCCCAUUCCUUCCAACAAAGCAUUUCAGAAUGCUUCUAUGGAAGCAUUCAAGGGGAACAAGGGAUUGUGUGGGGAAGUCCCUGGAUUGCCACUAUGCAAUGCAUCUUUGACAAAAAAACGUAAACAUAAAAUGUUGUUUCUGAUCAUUUUCCUUCCGCUUUUUGGAGCUUUUUCGCUUCUCUCUUUCUUUGGAGUUUUGUUCUUCUUACCGAAAAGAAAAGAAGAUCCAAAAGCGGAGCAACGCGACGAGCAGGAUGAGGAAUUCAUUUCCAUAUCAAGUUUUGAAGGAAAACUUAUGCAUGAUGAGGUUAUACGAGCCACUAAUAGUUUCGAUGCUAUAUGCUGCAUUGGGAUGGGAGGAUGCGGCAAUGUCUACAAAGCCAGUUUGUUAUCAUUAGGGAUCAUAGUGGCUGUGAAGAAGCUCAACUCACUUAGUGAUGGUAAGAGGCCAUAUCAAAAAGAGUUCUUGAACGAGAUAAGGGCAUUAACACAAAUAAGGCAUCGAAACAUAGUAAAACUCUAUGGUUUCUGUUCCUAUGCACAUCACUCAUUUUUGGUUUACAAAUACAUGGAAUGCGGAAGCUUGGCAACAAUCCUAGGCAACAACCAAAAAGCUAAAGAACUGGGAUGGAGUAAAAGGUUAACUAUUGUUAAAGGUGUGGCUUGUGCCCUAUCCUAUAUGCACCAUGAGUGCUCACCACCCAUCGUUCAUCGAGAUAUAAAAAGCAACAACAUUUUGCUAGAUUCUAAAUAUGAAGCUCACAUAUCAGACUUUGGCACUGCCAAGCUUUUGAAUCUUGAUUCAUCACAUUGGUCUGCAUUGGCAGGCACAUAUGGAUAUGUUGCACCAGAGUUUGCUUACACCAUGAAGGUAACUGAGAAAUGUGAUGUGUAUAGCUUUGGGGUGUUAGCAUUGGAAGUGAUAGGAGGAAAGCAUCCAGGAGAAAUCAUAUACUCGCCUGAGAAGAUCCUACUCGAAGAUAUUAUGGAUCAACGCCUUCCAUCACCGUCGCUAGAAAUUCUGGAUGAACUUGCUCAAAUACUGAAUCUCUCAGUUGGAUGCUUGAUCAAAGAUCCAAAAUAUCGGCCGACCAUGCAAAUGAUUUGUCAUGGGUUAGAAGCUCAAAACUACUUUUUCUUAGCUAGCUAGAUCGAUUUACACAGCAAUACUAUGAUCAAUUACUAUAAAGCUAAAUAAAUCCAAAUGGUUAGGAAAUAAAUCAAAACUACUUUUAUUCUCUUUUUUCUCGUUUUCAUGGCUCUUUUUUUUUUGUAAUUUACAAUUAAGUCUUAAGAUAUAACAAAAACCACAUAUUAGUCCUUGGUAUAUUUUUGAGUAACAAUUUGGUCUCAAAAUUUAAUUUCGUUAACAAAUUACUCUAUGUUAUCUAAAUUGACUGUUAACUCUGUUAACUUCUUUUCGAUUUAAAACAAUUUAGUUCCUAAAGUAUUGUUUUAUUAGCGAAAUGGUCAUAUAUCAAAAUUUUAUAUUUAAAUAAUUAUUUAUUUUAUAUUUAAAUAAUUUUAGAUAAUUAUUUAAAAUAAUUUUAUGUAAUUAU
rnacentral:misc_RNA from 1 species